GAAUUUAUUUUACUUUACUUAAAGGCUCUUUAGAACUUUAGAUAAGUGGCUUUUGGAAAUGUUAGUAAUAUAGUCAUUAAAGUAAUACAAGAGAGCAAAUCAGCUAGAAGCAAAAUAGCAAUGAUGUGGAUUUAUCGAAUGAUGCGAUACUUUCGGCUGAGGUGUACUAUCAGCUUACCAACAAAAAUUCAAUAACACACCAUAAACAAACUCUCUUACUUCACACUAAAACCACACAUCAUAUCCUUCUCUCAUAUCUCCAUAUCUUAUUCUCUCUCUCGGAAUAAAGGAAAAAUGGGUUUUGCUUGAUUAAGAAAACCAAACGAUACCGCGAUGAUUCCAUCCUCUCUCAUAUUAACAUUUCAUUAUCAUACCACUAGCGCCACCAUUCAUAAAACAUAUAUCUUCAGCAACAUAAAUUCCUCUCUCAAUCUCAAAUAAGAAAGAAGAUAAAAAGCCUCACUUGCUCGACGGAAAGCCUACGCAACAAGGAUCAUUGGAACUCCAAGGUAUUUGUUCUCACCAUUAUUUUUAACAUUUCAUUUACAUGUGUACGAUUGUGUUUUCAGGUAGGUGUUAGAGUGGAGAAGUUGUUCCCUUUUUGUUGUUUGUGAUAUUCGUUUUGGGCUUGCUAUACUUGCAUUUUUAUGAGUUAUAAGAGAUGAUGAACAGUGCCCGGUGUAAAAAAGUAUAACAUGUUUUACAGAUAGUAUGAAACAUACUUUUGUUUUUCUCUAGCAUUUUUCGUUGUCUUUGUUGUGUUACUAUUUAUUUUUUAGUUUGUUAUGGAGUUAUGUGUGUGGAUUN
rnacentral:lncRNA from 1 species